rnacentral:rRNA from 1 species
UACGUAGGGGGCUAGCGUUGUUCGGAUUUACUGGGCGUAAAGCGCGCGUAGGCGGUUCGUUAAGUGGGAUGUGAAAUCCCCGGGCUUAACCUGGGAAUUGCAUUUCAAACUGGCCGACUAGAGUACGGUAGAGGGAGGUAGAAUUUCCUGUGUAGCGGUGAAAUGCGUAGAUAUAGGAAGGAAUACCAGUGGCGAAGGCGGCCUCCUGGAGUCGAUACUGACGCUGAGGCGCGAAAGCGUGGGGAGCAAACAGG